rnacentral:lncRNA from 1 species
GAAAUAAAGUCUUCAUACACUAUAUAUUUUCUAUACAUGGAGUGAUGUAAAUACACACAAGAGAAUAAGAAAUCUCCAUUUUUCUUAAGAUUUUGAGUGUUUGGAAGUCUCUGGUGCUCAUGCUGUCAUUAUCAUCGAUAUGAAAGAGAAGGAAAAGCAAAGAAGGUUAUCAUAAUCUUCAUCGUAAGCUUUCUUUUCGAAAGUCUUCUUCUCCUAUUACGAAGUGGAUUUUAAGUCUAACUCAACCCCAUAAAACUGGUUCAUAGGGUUGAGGUUUGCACCCACUUAUAUACAAUGAAAGACUCUAAUCUCUAGUCGAUGUGGGAUCUCCAACACAUCUCAUUUACCUACGUCCUUACCCAAAGAUGUUGUUGGUUCGACUCGUCAUCUUCCCAAAAGACAAUGAUCUCCUUAAACCUCCUAACAAAUCUGUCUUCCCUUCUUCUUCCAAAGACACAUCCAAUGUUUUACGUGUCUUGAAAAGGGGCACUACUCUUCCAACUGCCCACAGAAGAGAGCCUUGCUCCUUCACCAGCCAAAUAAUCCUCCACAACCUCUUCCUGCUAUAAUUGUUAUAGUACGCGGCUGGUUCAUAAGCUGUCUUUACCCACUCAACCCCAUACUGUUUGGAUUUCUGUUUACUUCAUUCAACUGCAUUUCCAGGUACUGGUUUCUAUUCUUAUACUUGUCCAAUUUUUUCUUCUUCUUACCUUUUUUCCCGUACAUCCUAUAUGCACUGUUUCUUCUUUUGUUGUUGUAGUCUCAUUCUUUGUAUUUUUCUUUUCAGGUGGAUUCAUGAACCCAUAGCGCCAUCCCUUUCAUGCACGGUGGCCUUGUUCCAUCGGAUAUGAGAACAGAUCCUUUUGAAGGGGAGCCCGAUGGAGUACCAUCCAAAGUCACCAUACACACUAAAUAAAGGACUCAAGCACUAUCUGUAUAAAUAAAGUAGAAUAUCAUUGUAAUAGAAGUCUGCUUAUGUGUUCCAUUAUAUUCUAUGCAAAUACAAAUGUAUAAACAUUACAUAAGGGGUAGAAUAGCUUAAGGAGCAAGCUAUCCCUUAUCUUAUAUAAAUAGCUUGCAUACACAUUUUUGUACUCAGAUUUAACAUAAUUGUGAAUGAAGUUUUCUGAAUUCAGAAAUCAUCAUCUCUCAAAUCUCC